AGGCUUUGAUCCUCAAAGAAGUAAGGUCGACUUUACAUGAGGAAGGGAACAAAAUCAAGCCAAAGAAUGUAAACCUCUCAGCUUCGCAUCAGCAGUAAAAAACAAAGUGGAGUGUUUACUCAAACAAGUAAUAAUGGAAUAUCUAGCAACUAUAACACAUAAGAGGAGUCAGUCAAUGGAAGUUUCAAAAGGGGAAAUCAUGCUUGACCAAUAUGAAUCAACUCUCUGAAGAAUGAUACACACUUGAGUGCUUAUGAAAAAGACACAUUUUGUCAAAGUUUUUCAUCUUGCAUUCAUCAGGGUAGUUCACAAGAAUACCAUUAUAAAGUGAAAACAACAUUUAUACAAUAUGAAAGCACUGAUUAAAAUUGGAGUAUGACUUACUAUGGAAAUCCCAAACAAGAAUAGCAAUGGAAAGACGAUCAAUAUG